AGGCCUUUAGGAUAAGGUUGAGG
rnacentral:snRNA from 1 species